UACGUAGGGGGCAAGCGUUGUCCGGAUUUAUUGGGCGUAAAGAGCUCGUAGGUGGUUCGGUAAGUCGGAUGUGAAAUCUCCAGGCUCAACCUGGAGGGGUCAUUCGAUACUGCCGUGACUAGAGGUCGGUAGGGGAGUGUGGAAUUCCCGGUGUAGCGGUGAAAUGCGCAGAUAUCGGGAGGAACACCAAUGGCGAAGGCAGCUCGCUGGGACGGUACUGACGCUGAGACGCGAAAGCGUGGGGAGCAAACAGG
rnacentral:rRNA from 1 species